ensembl:lncRNA
CUACAGGCCAACUAGAGCACCCAUAGAACUCCCAGGGAAAGUGCCUGCAGAAGUGCUGCCAAAGCUUGCUAGGGAGGAGCUCCACUGCAUGUCCUAUGGAUACAGGAACCAGCAGGAAGAAAUAUACCGGAACCAGGAAGAGAAGCCACUUUCCCCUGCAGUGUCCCUUCUGCGCCCUCUACUGACAAAGCUUAACGUUGUGUCAGCUGACAAGGAAGAAACGUUGCAGUAUCACAAGCAGGGCAACCAAAGGGAGGGUUGGAGCUGAGAGGCAAUGAAGUCGAACUGCCACAAGAACACGUCCCAGGGAGCUGCUGACCCAAAGAGAAUGAGAGAUGUGGAGAGCAGGCCUAAAUCCAAUCCACAGCUUAGAAGGAGAUGCAGCUGAUCCUAUCCAACCCCAGCAGAACCACAGGAACCUGCAAACCUGAGCUGCCAUCAUCCCAACAAGCUCCAGACUCCCUUUCCUUGUGCUUCCAGACAAAAAGAGUGCGAGGCCAGAGCAUCUAAGCAGACUGAUGAUACAGGGAGUGGCAGCUGGCCCCAGUGACAAGAGAGGAAGCAAAUGUCAUGAAUGUGACCAGCAGACAUGAUCCCAGUUGCAAGCUAUUAUUUACUACCAGUAACACACCCGGGCUGCCAGCCCAAAUGAUGCAAGUCCGCAAGACACCAAAACUAACUUCCAACGUGUGCAAGCAAAGAAAGCCUGGAGAUCUAAAAUAACUAUUGAACAGUCUUACAGCAAGUUCAUGGACUGCAUUGCUUAGAAGAAGACCAAGGCACUCCUUCAAAGCCUCUUCCCUCUUGCUUAAAAUAAAAGUCUAACAAUCUCAGAUAUUCAGUUUCCCAGGCCCUGCAAAUUGGAUAUAGCAUAUAUCAGAUGUACCGGGGAAGGAAGAGAGAGACAUUAGAAACAGCUCAAUAAUAGCAGUGAGAACUGACAGCUGACAGUCUGGUGACAGAACAAAUGGACAAAACUCAAAGAGAACAGAGGAGCACGUGUGCUGGACGGUCAUAGAAAUUAGGCAGGGUCAUCAAGAAAAGGUUAAAAUCUCUUGUGUUUCUCAAAAGGGAAGGAGGUAUAUAAUACAUUUUAGAAAGCCCUCCAUGCAGAGUGCCUAAAGUAAAUGAAAUUUGGGGUUUAGAAAGAACAAGCUUGGGAAUUCAGGAAAAUUCACUUAAGUAGAACGCUGUCCUCCCCUGACAGUGCAAGAUAAAUGAGGUGGUACUGGACCUGCAAAGGCUUCCGCAACUGGGCUGGGGAAAGAAAGGAGCCGCCUGUAACCUUUCCAGCAACUUACAAUGUUCUGCAAUUCCCCCUUAUUCUCCCCACAGCAGCCUGGUCCCUGCCUUGCUGUGGGAAUCGCUGUGUACACACUGCAGCGUGGGGCAGAACACCCUCUCUCAAGCCUACCUGGGGCAGACAGGUGUGCCAGUCCCCUUAGGAAUGAGUGUCACUGGGAGAUCUUGCCGGAAACAUGGCUUCUGCCUCUCCUUGCCUUCUCUUCUGCUGUCUUUCCUACCUUCCACCUCCCUCUUCACAGGGCACCCAAAGCCAGGGUGUGGAUGCAGCUGACAGCUAUUGACUAUCAACAGGCCUUCAGCUUUCACUCUGAGAUAAGCAUCUGUCCAAAUUCUUAGAGGUUUAACCCAACCUCUACUUGCACCACUCCUCUCUACACUCAUGGCCUCCAAUUAAAGCUCCAGCUGCAGCAGGAGAUAGUUUAAGGACCCUGACCUAGGCUGGACUUUAUUAUGGUGGUGGUUCUCAAUCUUGGCUUACACCUUAGAACCCCCUAUACAGCUUAAAAUAUACAGAUGCUCCAUGCCUCUCCCCACCUCCACACUCCUGCCACCUGAGAGUCAGUUCCAAUUGAUCUGGGGUGACCCCGGCAUUAGUGUUUUUCAAAAGCUCCCUCUACGAUUCAAAUGUGCAGCUAGAGCCAAGCACUAACUGACAUGUUCUGCAGCAAAGUCAGAACAGAUGCCCUCUGGGAGCCCGCGGAACGGCCCCGUGCCACGAUGUGCGGCCACGGCGAGCCCACCACUGCAGCAGAGGCUGACUCGGUUGAGCUAAAUAAAGCCCAAAGACUGGUUUUAAUGUUCAGAUACUGAGAAGAAGAGAGUAAAGAGGGAAAGGAACACGGACCUGGCCUCAGAGCCACAGUGACUCGUGUAGCAAAGGGCACUGGAGGCAGGAACUGAAGUGCAAGGAAAACAUGUAGAUAAGUGAUCCAUUAAAGAAGACUACUGGGGGCUUGGUGGAGGAAGGGGCUGCAGGGGUUCACCAAGAAUCACUAAAGAGGCCCAGUCCGUAAGCCCGGGCAAGCCCGAGCAGGCAGGGAAGGCCCCCAGGCACGGUUAGGAUGGGGAGAAGCUAGUGUGAUUGUCAUUGCUGCCCACUCAUGUGAUGACCUGGCCAGAAACAGCUGGAGAGCCCUCUGUGGGCUUGCUGCUCCUCCCGUGAUAGGAAAGGAGGGAAAUGAAUGUCUUCGGUAAGUUCUUCCCUUCCCUGCUACCUGGGCCAGGGGCACCAGGCCAGCCCCUUAGGUAUGAGUGAGAUGGGCUGGCAGACACUCAGUGGCUCCCUCUCCCAGGGCUAAGCCACCGGAUGGGACCAGUCCACACCCCGGGCCUCACCAGAACCAUUUGUCGCUUACUGGACAGGGACUUUGGAGGCAAAAAGCUACCCCUUCCUUUCCGCUCAGAUAUCAGGAAGCUGUGCCUGCACCCUGGCGGCUGCUGAAGGCCCUGUGCUCACCCCACCUGUCCCAGAACCUGAGGAAGACGUCCAGGAGCGCGGUCUCUCAGCCCCAGCCAGCGUCUUCACUCACUAACACCUUCACCUCGUACCAACGAAUGCUUUAAGACAACAUGAUGAGGGGUGGCUUGUGAAGAGUGGAAGAUCCAUUGAUGGUUGCUCAAGAUAAGAGCAAGACCUGGGAUCCUUAGCCUCUGCUUCCCUUCCGUUGUGUGGUACCUCCCCCUCCCCCUGCCUGGCCAUGAACAACUGUCCCACUGCACCAUGGAGUCACGUGGCCAGCCCCUGCCCUGAUGGCUCUGAGGUGGCUCCUUGACUCCCUCCAGCAAGACACAUCCUACAUUUCCGUAGGUGCCCAAAAGUAGCCCCCAGCCGUAGCCUUAGCUGCCUCCAGCUCCCUCACCUUUGUUCCUCCCGUGGGUCCAGGAGCUUGGAGCGCAUAAUGGGCUCAGCUGUGGGAGGAGAGCUGCAGCAGGGCAUCUGUCGGGGGAAGAGGAAGAAAGAGAAGAAAAACGGCCCCCUCUGAAAGCUUUCCAAUCACUCGAGCCACCACCAUCUCUAAUUCUUUUCUUAAAGUAUAAAAUCAUUCUUCCACUGAUCUCACUCGUGGUCAGAGCUCAGUACAGGCCCAUCCGUCACGGGGCUGAUUUGGUUCAGCAGGUGUUGGCUGGGCAAUCGCUCAUUUCAGGCUAAUCUGCUAGCGGCUGUCAGGGGUUAUGGAGUAUUUAUUGAGUUUGUGUCAGGUCCGGAUGACCAAUAGCCAACAGCCGGUGGAUACGCACUGACAUUGAUGAUAUUGCUGAAUUAAACGCGGUGAUGUAUACUCAACUUGCUUAGAGCCAGGAAUGGACCCUGGGAUCAUUUUAUAAUCUGAUGCAGACAAUUCCUGGGCUUUCCUUUUCAAAGAAAACAUCACACACAUGGCGUUUCUAUUUAAAGAAAAAAGUACACGGUCCCCAACAAAUGUAGUCACGUCCAUAUUUAAAUGAACAAGAGCAUUUUCUGGGGAGACUGGAGGGAAUAAAUAAGAUCCAGAUAUUUGGCAAACAGCCUUCCAUGCACUGCCAAGACCCGUUGGAUUCCCAACAUUUAGAUUUCAGGCCUCACCAGAAAGACAUUCGUUGGUGACCCAGACUCAGGAUUAUGAACAUAAAUUCAGAGUCUGCCUUUGGUGGCAACAUGAUGUCACAAAGAAGAGCACUGGAGUUGGAGUCAGACAGCAAAUAGGAUAGUGAUGCCAUCUGAAGGGUGAACGUGAAGUCAUGCAAGAUGCUGUAUGUGCUGAUAUCAGGAGACGGCUUCUUAUACUUGGUCUCUCUCUCCUUUUCUUCUCCUAGAACCAUCACUCUCCCUCCAACCUCACCCAAACCCCAAAGCAAAGAAACUGCAGCUUCAAGAGAUGAUGUGAGCCGACAAAGCCGCCCAUCUGGGAAGAGACACAGCCAGAAUUCCACUCUCGCCCAAUCCAUCUUUGCUGGCCAUGCACCCCGUACUGCGCCACCCUGCCCAAGACCGGGGAUCACACAGAAGUCAUUAGUUGCUAACAUCAGAGCCUCAUCUCCUUUCAUCCCCAGGCUUCUCUGAGAACUGCUAGGGAGCAUAAUGGUGUGCUUUGCACUUCCCCUCCCGCUCCAACACCCCCACCCUGUCCGUCUGCCCCUCACCACAGGAAAGGAGAGAAUUAAACACAGGCAGUGAAGGAGGAAAGAAAGGACAGGGCCCUGGAUAAUCAUUCCCAAGUGAUCAAUGAUUGCCUCAACAAAUACACCGUGUAUGUAUUAACCUAUGGCAUAUUAAUGGAAAUGCAGGGUGCAUGAUAUAUACACAUAUAUAUACACAUGCAUGCUCCCUAGAUUGCUAGGUGCUCCUGGCAAGUGAAUGACUAGCUCCAGGAUGCUUCCCUGUGAUGGAAAUUGAAUUUAGGUUACAGAACAUCAUCUGGCCCAAUUGCCACUGAAUUAUUCCACACAAAAUAUCAAAGUUAAUUUUUGGGCCUGUCAGCCCGGUUGAUGAGUCGGGCGGCUGUCAGCCCGGCUGCUCCUGCCUUCAGUGCCAGAGAAGAGUCUGAAAGUCACGCAAUCCAAACAGCGACCUUGGCGGGGGACGGGGGUUAG